rnacentral:misc_RNA from 1 species
UUUAUUUUUAUUUAUUUAAAUAUUUAUUUAAAAAUUCAUAAAUAUUAUUUAAAUUGAUAAAAAAUUCAGAACAAUGUCCAAAAAUAUUAUUUUUAUUAUUCCUUUUAUUGUCACUAGAAAUAUUUUUAUUUAUAAAAAAUAUAUAGUUAUUUUGUUGUUAUUUUUAUUUUUCCCUUUUUUUUCAGAAAAUGGUGCUACUCCUCUUAGUAUUUUCAUUGCUUACUAUAGAGCUAGGGUGGAUGAGAUUAUUAGAGAGUUAAUCAUACUUGAAAUGGAUCCCAAGGAUACUCCUGAUGAAAUUGAGCGUCUUGUGCAUCACAUAAUCAUUGUAAACAAGAGGAUGCAAACAAUUAUUUGGGAAUGAAAUUUUUUUGCUUGAUAAUGAUUAAUGAGAAAUAUGGGGCACUAAGGUCGCAUUGCUUGAUCUGAACCUAAUAGGAAUGCUUGAUUCUAUUGGGGUUUCGGGGAAUGGGUUUUGUAGACGUUUGGUCAUGGACUUUAUCAAGGAAUAUGCAAAAUGAGUUGCUAAAAGACUCUGAGUAUUUCACUCAGUCUAUCUAAAUGUGAUAGAAAAAAAAAAAAAUCCUUGACUAAGACAAUACUUUCUAAAGUGGACUGUGAGCUAAAACUUAAACUUCAUGAUGCUAUUAAAGCAUUUAUGCCUGUGACUAGGGUCUAUAUUAGACGUUAGGUAAACUUUUUGUUGUUUCUAUUUCCUUUUGAAUAUUUUGAUGUUGUCAAUGUUAGUUGAAUGUUGUUAUUUUUUUUUCUUAGUUGUGAAUAUUGAACAGUGUUUAUUUUUGUGAUAAUAAAUGUUGUGUUAUUUUAUUUUCGCAUAUAUUUAUUUUUAUAUUAUUGUUCAAUUUUCAUUUUUUCCUUUUAUUUAUUUAAUUAUUUAUUUUCUGUUAAAUAAUUAA